rnacentral:rRNA from 1 species
UACGUAGGAGGCAAGCGUUGUCCGGAAUUACUGGGCGUAAAGCGCGUGUAGGUGGUGGGACAAGUCUGCUGUGAAAGCGCCUGGCUUAACCGGGCGAGGUCGGCGGAAACUGUUCGACUCGAGGACGGUAGAGGGGGGUGGAAUUCCCGGUGUAGUGGUGAAAUGCGUAGAUAUCGGGAGGAACACCUGUGGCGAAAGCGGCUCACUGGACCACAACUGACGCUGAGGCGCGAAAGCUAGGGGAGCAAACAGG